rnacentral:rRNA from 1 species
GGUUAAGCGACUAAGCGUACACGGUGGAUGCCCUGGCAGUCAGAGGCGAUGAAGGACGUGCUAAUCUGCGAAAAGCGUCGGUAAGGUGAUAUGAACCGUUACAGCCGGCGAUGUCCGAAUGGGGAAACCCAGUGCAAUUCGUUGCACUAUCGUUUGAUGAAUACAUAGUCAAACGAGGCGAACCGGGGGAACUGAAACAUCUAAGUACCCCGAGGAAAAGAAAUCAACCGAGAUUCCCCCAGUAGCGGCGAGCGAACGGGGAGCAGCCCGGAGUCUGAAUCAGCUUGUGUGUUAGUGGAAGCGUCUGGAAAGUCGCAGGGUACAGGGUGAUACUCCCGUACACUAAAACGCACAGGUUGUGAACUCGAAGAGUAGGGCGGGACACGUGGUAUCCUGUCUGAAUAUGGGGGGACCAUCCUCCAAGGCUAAAUACUCCUGACUGACCGAUAGUGAACCAGUACCGUGAGGGAAAGGCGAAAAGAACCCCGGCGAGGGGAGUGAAAAAGAACCUGAAACCGUGUACGUACAAGCAGUAGGAGCCCACUUGUUGGGUGACUGCGUACCUUUUGUAUAAUGGGUCAGCGACUUAUAUUCUGUAGCAAGGUUAACCGUAUAGGGGAGCCGCAGGGAAACCGAGUCUUAACUGGGCGUUAAGUUGCAGGGUAUAGACCCGAAACCCGGUGAUCUAGCCAUGGGCAGGUUGAAGGUUGGGUAACACUAACUGGAGGACCGAACCGACUAAUGUUGAAAAAUUAGCGGAUGACUUGUGGCUGGGGGUGAAAGGCCAAUCAAACCGGGAGAUAGCUGGUUCUCCCCGAAAGCUAUUUAGGUAGCGCCUCGUGAACUCAUCUUCGGGGGUAGAGCACUGUUUCGGCUAGGGGGUCAUCCGGACUUACCAACCCGAUGCAAACUACAAAUACCGAAGAAUGUUAUCACGGGAGACACACGGCGGGUGCUAACGUCCGUCGUGAAGAGGGAAACAACCCAGACCGCCAGCUAAGGUCCCAAAGUCAUGGUUAAGUGGGAAACGAUGUGGGAAGGCCCAGACAGCCAGGAUGUUGGCUUAGAAGCAGCCAUCAUUUAAAGAAAGCGUAAUAGCUCACUGGUCGAGUCGGCCUGCGCGGAAGAUGUAACGGGGCUAAACCAUGCACCGAAGCUGCGGCAGCGACACUAUGUGUUGUUGGGUAGGGGAGCGUUCUGUAAGCCGUUGAAGGUGGCCUGUGAGGGUUGCUGGAGGUAUCAGAAGUGCGAAUGCUGACAUAAGUAACGAUAAUGCGGGUGAAAAACCCGCACGCCGGAAGACCAAGGGUUCCUGUCCAACGUUAAUCGGGGCAGGGUGAGUCGACCCCUAAGGCGAGGCCGAAAGGCGUAGUCGAUGGGAAACAGGUUAAUAUUCCUGUACUCGGUGUUACUGCGAAGGGGGGACGGAGAAGGCUAUGUUGGCCGGGCGACGGUUGUCCCGGUUUAAGCAUGUAGGCGGAUGUUCCAGGUAAAUCCGGAACGUCACUAACGCUGAGGUGUGAUGACGAGGCACUACGGUGCUGAAGUGACAAAUGCCCUGCUUCCAGGAAAAGCCUCUAAGCAUCAGGUAACAUCAAAUCGUACCCCAAACCGACACAGGUGGUCAGGUAGAGAAUACCAAGGCGCUUGAGAGAACUCGGGUGAAGGAACUAGGCAAAAUGGUGCCGUAACUUCGGGAGAAGGCACGCUGAUGGUAGGUGAAGCGACUUGCUCGUGGAGCUGAAAUCAGUCGAAGAUACCAGCUGGCUGCAACUGUUUAUUAAAAACACAGCACUGUGCAAACACGAAAGUGGACGUAUACGGUGUGACGCCUGCCCGGUGCCGGAAGGUUAAUUGAUGGGGUUAUCCGUAAGGAGAAGCUCUUGAUCGAAGCCCCGGUAAACGGCGGCCGUAACUAUAACGGUCCUAAGGUAGCGAAAUUCCUUGUCGGGUAAGUUCCGACCUGCACGAAUGGCGUAAUGAUGGCCAGGCUGUCUCCACCCGAGACUCAGUGAAAUUGAACUCGCUGUGAAGAUGCAGUGUACCCGCGGCAAGACGGAAAGACCCCGUGAACCUUUACUAUAGCUUGACACUGAACACUGGUCCUUGAUGUGUAGGAUAGGUGGGAGGCUUUGAAGUGUGGACGCCAGUCUGCAUGGAGCCAUCCUUGAAAUACCACCCUUUAAUGGCUGGUGUUCUAACGUGGGCCCGUAAUCCGGGUUGCGGACAGUGUCUGGUGGGUAGUUUGACUGGGGCGGUCUCCUCCUAAAGAGUAACGGAGGAGCACGAAGGUCAGCUAAUCCUGGUCGGACAUCAGGAGGUUAGUGCAAUGGCAUAAGCUGGCUUGACUGCGAGCGUGACGGCGCGAGCAGGUGCGAAAGCAGGUCAUAGUGAUCCGGUGGUUCUGAAUGGAAGGGCCAUCGCUCAACGGAUAAAAGGUACUCCGGGGAUAACAGGCUGAUACCGCCCAAGAGUUCAUAUCGACGGCGGUGUUUGGCACCUCGAUGUCGGCUCAUCACAUCCUGGGGCUGAAGUAGGUCCCAAGGGUAUGGCUGUUCGCCAUUUAAAGUGGUACGCGAGCUGGGUUUAGAACGUCGUGAGACAGUUCGGUCCCUAUCUGCCGUGGGCGCUGGAGAAUUGAGGGGGGCUGCUCCUAGUACGAGAGGACCGGAGUGGACGCAUCACUGGUGUUCGGGUUGUCAUGCCAAUGGCAUUGCCCGGUAGCUAAAUGCGGAAGAGAUAAGUGCUGAAAGCAUCUAAGCACGAAACUUGCCCCGAGAUGAGUUCUCCCUGACUCCUUGAGAGUCCUGAAGGAACGUUGAAGACGACGACGUUGAUAGGCCGGGUGUGUAAGCGCAGCGAUGCGUUGAGCUAACCGGUACUAAUGAACCGUGAGGCUUAACCUUAC